rnacentral:lncRNA from 1 species
UUGCAUUUGGCUUCUGGAAGAUUUUGGGCAUUACUGAUAAAGUACCGGGAGUGACGAAUGGGUUCGAGGGUUUUACCGGGAGGGGCCACCCACCCGGGAGAAAAGCAAAUAGGCCCAUGGGUGGCGCACCAGCCCUUAGUGGGCUGGUGAGUCCAGCCCAAUAAGGCUAUUUCGGACAAGGCAAUAAUAAAGAAGGAAAAAAA